rnacentral:tRNA from 1 species
UAGAUGAAUGCUCGCUGGCUGGAGCGUCUAGCUGUUAACUAGAAGUUUGUAGGAUCGAGGCCUUCUCAUCUAG